CAAUACCGCGUGAGGGAUGAAGGCCUAUGGGUUGUAAACCUCUUUUCUCAAGGAGGAAGAUAUGACGUUACUUGAGGAAUAAGCAUCGGCUAACCCUGUGCCAGCAGCCGCGGUAAUACAGGGGAUGCAAGUGUUAUCCGGAAUCAUUGGGCGUAAAGCGUCUGCAGGUUGACUUUUAAGUCUUUUGUUAAAGCUCUGGGCUUAACCUAGAAUAUGCAAAGGAAACUAUCUGUCUUGAGUAUGGUACAGGUAAAGGGAAUUUCCAAGUGGAGCGGUGAAAUGCUUAGAUAUUGGAAAGAACACCAACAGCGAAGGCACUUUACUGGGCCAGUACUGACACUGAGAGACGAAAGCUAGGGGAGCAAACGGGAUUAGAUACCCCGGUAGUCCUAGCUGUAAACGAUGGAUACUAGAUGUUGUGCUUAAGAAAAAGUACAGUGUCGUAGCUAACGCGUUAAGU
rnacentral:rRNA from 1 species